rnacentral:rRNA from 1 species
CCUACGGGAGGCAGCAGUGGGGAAUUUUGGACAAUGGGCGCAAGCCUGAUCCAGCAAUGCCGCGUGCAGGACGAAGGCCUUCGGGUUGUAAACUGCUUUUGUACGGAGCGAAAAGGCUCUCUCUAAUACAGGGGGUUCAUGACGGUACCGUAAGAAUAAGCACCGGCUAACUACGUGCCAGCAGCCGCGGUAAU